rnacentral:rRNA from 1 species
UGGGGAAUAUUGGGCAAUGGGCGAAAGCCUGACCCAGCGACGCCGCGUGGGUGAUGAAGGCCUUCGGGUCGUAAAGCCCUGUCAGGAGGAAAGAACGAUCUUGUGGUGAAUAUCCACAAGAUGUGACGGUACCUCCGAAGGAAGCACCGGCCAAUUCCGUGCCAGCAGCCGCGGUAAGACGGAAGGUGCAAGCGUUGCUCGGAAUCACUGGGCGUAAAGGGUGCGUAGGCGGCUUCUUAAGUCUGGUGUGAAAGCCCAGGGCUCAGCUCUGGAAGUGCACUAGAAACUGAGGAGCUUGAGUACCGGAGGGGAGAGUGGAAUUCCUGGUGUAGCGGUGAAAUGCGUAGAUAUCAGGAGGAAUACCGGUGGCGAAAGCGACUCUCUGGACGGUUACUGACGCUGAGGCACGAAAGCGUGGGGAGCAAACAG